CCCUCACCCGUUCCGUAAAUUCCGUAUUAUGUGUACCACUGUGAAAGUGUGAAGCACACGGCAAAGAGUGCUUUCCAUUCAACUUUUGCUCUAUAUUUUGCAGUAUUUGUUCAAUAAUUUGGGUAAAAUUUUACUUACUACUCUGGCGGCGUAGUGUUGUGAUGUUGGCAACGACCCUGUCAGGAAGUAAAUUAUUAAUGUUGUUGCUUGUGUGUGGUUGACGGGUUGUUGUAUGACUGUAUGUUCUCCUGUCCGUUGGGUAAAUUAAUUAUCAUCGUAAAGCGAACAUUUCAUAACAAAAUAUUUUCAUUAAUGUAAACGUCACAUAAUUCCCAGAAUGAAACCGCCGUUGCCGAAGCCUGAAUUUUUCUGAAGAUAAUGUAUUAUUGAGAUAAACGAGGAACUAGUAGUUUUUUGUGAUACUUUCCCUUUCUGGGUUCAUUUCGUAAAUUCAAUGGGUCACAGCUCAGAAUCGGGCGAAACAUCCGCCACAGAGACAGGAGACAAUGUGGAUUACACUGAUGCUAAAAGGUAUGAUACCAGUGCAUUUGUGAAGGUAGUAGUGUCAGACUCUGAAGAUGACUCAAGUCCUACAAAAAAACAGCACACUUGCCACUAUCCUGGGUGCAACAAAGAGUUCAGUAGGCCAUGGCGCCUGGCAGCCCACCUGUCUACGCAUACUGGGGAGCUUCCAUACAAAUGCAGUUUUGAUGGUUGUGACAAAGCAUACACUACUAACAGCCAUCUCAGGAGGCACAUAGCGAACACCCAUCAGCGCAAAGAACUAGAAAUUUUGUUCAGAUGCCCAUUCCCAGGAUGUGAGGCCAAGAUGAAAAGCCAAUGGAACAUAAACAAGCAUUUCAAGUCAAAACAUGAACCAAAAGCUUUUAAAUGCACUGUGUGUGUGGAGAGUUUCCGGAAGCACAGUCAGCUUAAAGCACAUAUGUAUGAGCACACUGGUGUGCCACCUAUUCAAUGCACGAUAUGUAAUGCAGGAUUUCUGAAAAUUGGGGAUCUCAACAGGCACAUGCGAUGUCAUAAACAACACACAUGUUCCAAUGGUGAAUGUAGGCAGGUUUUUGAAACAUGGACACAGCUUCGAAAACAUGUGGCACUUGAGCACCCAAAAGAAUACGUCUGUGAUCAUUGUGGAAGAGUAUUCUACAAUAAGACACGCCUCCGUUCACAUGUGAUGGUACAUCAAGAUCCAAGUGAACGUGAAGUGAUCUAUUGCCCUUACAACAAUUGUGGCAGGUACUAUUUUGAAAAGAAGAACCUGGACCACCAUAUCCACGCAUGUCAUGAUAAGAAGAAUUAUCCGUGCUUGCAUCCUGGCUGUGGAAGACAACUAAGUAGUCAGAUGGUGUGAAAAAUGGUGAUGGCCUACAUUUUUACAGACAAGAAUUUGACAGUUAAGAUAUUUGUGGCCACAAUAUAACCAUGCGACACUGCCGGUUCCCGUGAGAUCACCGAAGUCCAGAUGCAUGACUACUCUGCGGGCUCACCUUAAGCUGCACAAUCCAAAAGGACCAAUGCCAACCAAACGGAAAAGGCCACGAAAGAAACGUUGUGAUGUAGGUCGCCAUAAGAGAUCGAUGGCUGUGAAGCUCUCUGGUCUUCGCUUA
rnacentral:misc_RNA from 1 species